rnacentral:precursor_RNA from 1 species
AGAAGUUGUAUGUUGGGUGGGCUCCCUUCAACUUUAACAUGGAAGUGCUUUCUGUGACUUUAAAAGUAAGUGCUUCCAUGUUUUAGUAGGAGUGAAUCCAAUUUACUUCUCCAAAAUAG